UGGCUGAUUUGUUACUAUAAAAUAGGUUUAGUAUUUGCUGUCUGGAAACAUUCUGAUUAGUGUCUCCUGGGAGGAUUAUAAAUUUAUAGUACCCAAAGAUAAACUGUUGUUUCCCUUUCCUAAACUUUUAGUGAUAAUCAGUCUCUGCCAUGUCUCAUUUUCAUCACUUGCCCUCCAAGCUCCCAUCUCACUGAAUUCUUGUAGUGUUCUGAAUGUUGAGGGCCCCAGGUAGGUCUUAUAACAGCCAGUGAGCAACAUUUCUGUUUUUCAUCAGACACCAAGGGUCUUGUCUCUUUGCUUUUCUACCAGUUAUUCUGGGCUCUUCAGCUCUAAAGAAAGUAUAGGUCCUGAAAUCUUUCCCUACCUUCUCAAUUUCCUGGGGAGGGCUUCUUUGGAAAGUGGGAUUGGAAAUAAGAUAAAUUUGAAGAUAAUUGAGAAAUGAAUGGAAAGUGAAAUUGAAGGGUGCAUGUUAAGAGAUUGCAAGUUACGCUAUCACCAAAUAGAUUUUUUAUGCCUAUUUAAGAGGAUUAAUUAAUAGUGCAUAUCAUGUGUUGACUUGAUCAUUGAGGUCCUGGCACAUGACUAGCAUUGGCAUGAUAUAAUGUGAGCUACUGAUACUAUAGUGUUGCUUCUGGUGUUGUUACCAGAACAUCUAAAAUAUGUUAGGAUUUUUUUAAUGGCAGAGGAAAUGAAGACUAACGUGACAUAGUCCUUCUCCUAGUGAUUUACAGUUUAGCAAGACAUACAAGCAAAACAUUAAAGUAAAACAUGAUAACUACUUUAAUAAAACAUUUUUUAAAUUCAUUGGUAACAUAAGAGAAGGUAGAAAAGUUUAGCAAACCCUUCCCAAAAGAUAUGAUUGACAAGUUAUAUGAGAUAAUAAUUCAGGGAAAGGAAAUUUGACUUUCUAAAGCCAAAUUAUUUGACAUUGGUUUUCAUAUAGCUUGGUAAAAGCUGUUAUUUUCUCCCAUGUUCUUUAUUCUUUGACUGUUAUAAGUAUGAUUUGUACAGAGAAAUGGCAAUUUCAAAACAGAGGGCUUUGAUGGAUUAAUCGCUUUUGAAUUGAUCCCUCAUCUACAGUAUCUUGUCAGGUACUUGAGAAAAUAAUGUACUUAAAGGUUCCUCUUUUGACUUUCUUUUGGUAUUCUAUACUGUAAGUUGGAGAAAAAAGUAUUUUCUCUUCCUGCUAAUUGGGCUACUUGAAAAUUCCCACCAACUUUGCCAAUACCAGUGUUCUGUAUAACCCAGAAUUCAGAAUUAGCUGCAAUUAAGGGAAUUCACAGCUUUUCUGUAGUCAGAGAGCAAAUUGAAAUUAAAGAAAAAAGAAAUAGUGGGAGGACAAAUGAGGUUUUACCUUUACACUUGAAAACAGAUUUAAGAACAAGCCUUAUAGCUAGAUUUAUUAAUACUUUGAGGUAUGAGAGGGAAGAGAAGCUUAGAAAUAGGGCAGAAUGGGCUUUCUUUGUUCUUCUCCCAGCUAUGCUGUUUUUAUUUAUUAUUGUAUUUUUAAGAGAGAAAGGAAGUGUCUCUUCUGGGUCACAUUAAUUAGGAAAUACAGAGUGUUUUCAUAAUGCGUAAAGUCUAGUCCAUUUAAGUCUUGUUUCAAAAUGCUGUUUAUGUUAUUUGAGCAGGAAGGCAGAGACCUUAAACUGCUCCACCCAAUUCAUUUUACACAAAAGAUUAAAAAGAAAAAACAGUGUCAAAAGGUCAAGUGUCCAGUGUUGCACAACUAAUGAUAGGCAAAACGAGAGGAGGGGGAAAAAAAAGAAUCCUGACUCCUGACUCCUAGUUCAGCAUGUUCUUCACUGUUAGAAGGUGCUGCUAAACAUAGUUAUACCAUAUGAAAAUAAUACUAUCUAUUUGAGAUUGUAGAAAUUUGAUUAUUGCAGAGCUCUGGCUGGGCUAGAUUUGCUUCUUAUUCUUUAUUGCAUUGCAGUAUUCUUAAGAGAUAAAUGGCUCUUUUAGAAUCAGAUUGGCCUUGGCUGUUGAAAUGAGGCAUUAAUUACCUUGGUAGCUGACACAUUCUUACAGGUCAGGGGCUUGAUGAAGGUUAUCUUCUUCCCUUGUUCCUGUGAUUGCUCUGUAAAUAGAACACAUUCAGAGCCCUUGAAUGCACUUGCGGCCUGUGCCUCCCACAGUGAUCAAUGGUCGGAUAAUGGAAGUUUAAUGACCAGUACUGAGAGAGAUUAUUUCCAUGGCUGCUGUGGGCCAAGAAAGCUGGGUGGUCAGAAAGGGGCCCUUUCCAGACUCUCCUGGGAUGUGUUAUUUCUUUGACAUUGGUUUCCUUUCAUGAGGCGCCAAGGUGUAUUUGUAAGUUGUCCAGUGUUGCACAACUAAUGAGGGGCAAAACAAGAAAAGAGGAAAAAAAAAAAAGUAUACUCACUCCUAGUUCAGUGUGUUCUUCACUGUUGGAAGGUACUGCUGAACAUAAUUGUAUGUUCAGUGUACAAUGUACAAUGUUCUUUGACAUUCCAUCAUUUGAAGGAUGGGUCCUAUGGAUAGUAUCAUCUGCAUGGUUUUGAAAACAAAAGAUAUAAGCUAAUUUUGCUCUGUCUAGUGACUACGAGACAGGGAGAGAAAAUCUGAAUAUUUGUUAAAGUAGACACAGACCCAUAAAUUGAAAAGGACACUAAUCCUGCCUUAGGAGACAGUAAGGCACUUGUCCCUGCUAUCUAUUAGCUGUGUGUCCUCGGACAGCUCAUUGCUUCUUUCUGAGCCACCGUUACAUGUUAUCUAUCAAGUGAGCAUGUUGUACACUAGAUGAAUUCACAGGACCUUCUUCCAAGUGCUUUUCUGAUCUUCAUAAUUUAGAUAAUGUCUCAGUAGCAAAACAGUGUACAAUAUGGUCAAUCUGAGAUUUUUAGGGGGAGAAUUUAGGGAACAUCAGAAAUGGCAGUAGUUAAAAGGAAACAGGGCUCACAGACUGACUUCUCUCUAUAACUUCACAUGGUAGAAGGGAUGAGAGUUCUCUCUGGAGCCUUUUGUAUUAGGUCACUAAUCCCAAAGGCCCCACCUCCUAAGACCAUCACUUUCGGGAUUGGGGUUUUAACAUGAUUUUGGAGGGACAUAAACCUUCAUCUCAUUGCAUUAGAGAUAUUUGAAAGCUCAGCUCACGUGUAUUCCUCUACAGUUUUCUCCCAACCUGAUGGCUUUGAAUGUUGUAGACAUAAAUCCUUUCAUCACUAUCAAGAAUAUUGCCAAAAGCUUCUCAGAAAUUAUGAGGGGUUUUUUUAGUUUCUAAAAUGUUGUCAAAGAAAGUCCCAUGUACUAAUGUUUGCCUUUUGAUGAAAAAGGAUGAAAUCUUAAUGAUUGCCUUAAUAAGCUCAACAAUGCUUGUUAGUCGAGUCUUCUUAUUGUGCUGAUUCUUAUAAACAACAACAUUCAGUAUAAACAUUAAUGUAUGUGAUUCACUAAGGUUUUUGCAUGAUUCUCUGUGAGGCUUCAGAUGUCUCUUGGAUUAUGUAUCUUUUUUUCAUCGCCAGCAUCCUGUGGCAGCUGCUACUCAUUUGCUUCUAUGGGUAUGCUAGAAGCGAGAAUCCGUAUACUAACCAGCAAUUCUCAGACCCCAAUCCUAAGCCCUCAGGAGGUUGUGUCUUGUAGCCAGUAUGCUCAAGGCUGUGAAGGCGGCUUCCCAUACCUCAUUGCAGGAAAGUAUGCCCAAGAUUUUGGGCUGGUGGAAGAAGCUUGCUUCCCCUACACAGGCACUGAUUCUCCAUGCAAAAUGAAGGAAGACUGCUUUCGUUAUUACUCCUCUGAGUACCACUAUGUGGGAGGUUUCUAUGGAGGCUGCAAUGAAGCCCUGAUGAAACUUGAGUUGGUCCAUCAUGGGCCCAUGGCAGUUGCUUUUGAAGUAUAUGAUGACUUCCUCCACUACAAAAAGGGGAUCUACCACCACACUGGUCUAAGAGACCCUUUCAACCCCUUUGAGCUGACUAAUCAUGCUGUUCUGCUUGUGGGCUAUGGCACUGACUCAGCCUCUGGGAUGGAUUACUGGAUUGUUAAAAACAGCUGGGGCACCGGCUGGGGUGAGGAUGGCUACUUCCGGAUCCGCAGAGGAACUGAUGAGUGUGCAAUUGAGAGCAUAGCAGUGGCAGCCACACCAAUUCCUAAAUUGUAGGAUAUGCCUCCCAGUAUUUCAUAAUGAUCUACAUCAGCUGUAAAAGGGAAUUGGUAUAUUCACAGACUGGAGACUUUCAGCAGCAAUUUCAGAAGCUUACAAAUAGAUUUCCAUGAAGAUUUUUGUCUUUAGAAUUAAAACUGCCCUUAAUUUUAAUAUACCUUUCAAUCGGCCACUGGCCAUUUUUUUCUAAGUAUUCGAUUAAGUG
rnacentral:sRNA from 1 species